rnacentral:rRNA from 1 species
ACCGGCGGCUCGAGUGGUGGCCGCUAUUAUUGGGCCUAAAGCGUCCGUAGCUGGUUUGGUCAGUCUCUGGGGAAAUCUUCCGGCUCAACUGGUAGGCUCCCCAGGGAUACUGGCAGACUAGGGACCGGGAGAGGUGAGAGGUACUCCAGGGGUAGGAGUGAAAUCCUGUAAUCCUUGGGGGACCACCUGUGGCGAAGGCGUCUCACCAGAACGGAUCCGACAGUGAGGAACGAAAGCUAGGGGAGCAAACCG